rnacentral:rRNA from 1 species
CAGUCGCCGCGGGAAUACGAAGGGGGCUAGCGUUGUUCGGAAUUACUGGGCGUAAAGCGCACGUAGGCGGAUAUUUAAGUCAGGGGUGAAAUCCCGCAGCUCAACUGCGGAACUGCCUUUGAUACUGGGUAUCUUGAGUAUGGAAGAGGUUAGUGGAAUUGCGAGUGUAGAGGUGAAAUUCGUAGAUAUUCGCAGGAACACCAGUGGCGAAGGCGGCUAACUGGUCCAUAACUGACGCUGAGGUGCAAAAGCGUGGGGAGCAAACAGGAUUAGAUACCCCCGUAGUCCCUGUCUCUUAUAC